rnacentral:rRNA from 1 species
UCUAAAGCUAAAUAUUGGCGAGAGACCGAUAGCGAACAAGUACCGUGAGGGAAAGAUGAAAAGCACUUUGGAAAGAGAGUUAAACAGUACGUGAAAUUGCUGAAAGGGAAACGAUUGAAGUCAGUCGCGUUAGCUAGAACUCAACCAGGCUUGCUUGGCGUAUUUUCUAGUUAACGGGCCAGCAUCAGUUUUGACCGCAGGAAAAAGGCCAGAGAAAUGUGGCACCUUCGGGUGUGUUAUAGUCUUUGGUCAUAUACUGCGAUUGGGACUGAGGUUCGCAGCACGCGCAAGCUGUGCUUAGGAUGCUGGCGUAAUGGCUUUAAACGACCCGUCUUGAA